CUGGGGGUGAUGGUAAAAAGCCACAGGAAAAUGUGUUUUCUGUGCCGAUGAGAUGGUAAGGAAAAAACCCUCUUCUUUUUUAACUUCCUAAAGGCGCAGAAUUCAUGCCUCACUUUCUUUUCCCCUUUUCUGUUUAGUGUUUAUCAUGCAUGCUGUGUGUGUGUACGUGUGUGAGUGUUUGUGUGUAUGUGGGGUGAGUGUGGCGGGGCAUCAUUGGGUGGAAUGAAAUUUAUCAAAGUCAGUGGAGCAUUGUGAUGAAAGCUUUGUGGGGGAAUUUCAACCACGACUAUAGGCAGGGUCCAUGCAAAGUGGUUAGCUUUCUCUUGCUUUUUAAUGAGAAUUCUCCCCAGCUAUUUUGGUUCACAGGGUCUCAGUAUGGCUUUAACCUUUGCUGUUUAUACUGUCAGCUGAAUUGGAUGGUGAGCUAGGUUGUGAGAAUUAGAAUCAUCCGAAAGCUGUUGAGCGUGCCGAGCAUCUGUGCAGGCAUCUAUCUUCCCGCUACUUCCCCAAAGACAAAUCCUCCAUAUUCAAUUUGUCCCUUCCACUUUUCAUUUGGAUGCUGAUUGAUUCACAGCUUCCCCAUCCACCAUAAUCACCAAAUAAUUUACCUAGCUGUUAUCAAGAGGCAGAUAAUGGAAAAGGAAAUAAAUCCCAAUCUUUACUUUGUCGGGCCAGAACAUUACAAUCAAAUCCCGGAGUUGUUUGUUAGAAAACAAGAACGGAAAAUGGAAGGGAACGCUUUAGUUAUUUGGGUGAUUGCUUUUGCGGUUUAUUACCUGUGCUCUUUGUCUUUGUGUCCAAAUGGCUUCACACACCUAAGGCCAGACAUUUAUUUAUAAUAACCUGGCACAUUACUGUAAAUGGCACGGCUGAGACCAGCUAUGAUGUCCUCUGCUACUCGCAGAAUGAGCACAGCCCAUUGCCUAUGCAUUUACGACCCCAGGUACAGCAGCACAUGAUAUACAAUUGACAUUAACUCACUACCACUGUCAAUGGAGCACGGUAAACACAUUCAUGAUUGCAGCACAAUAGCCUUGCGUCCAAGCAUGAUGGAUGACUCACCAUCAAACUACCUUUUGAUGACAGAUUCGCUCUGAUGCAUUUAAUGCUGCAGGUUUUCAACAGUUUGGGGUGGUACACAGCAGCUAACAUGGAAAACAAAGUAUGCAUCAGCAACGCACUAUGAGUUGUCAUGUCAGUUUUUAUUAUUUAAGCUGCUUUUUUUUUUUUGAGGCAAUAUUUGAUCUGCUGCUGAUCCAUUGCUGCUCAUUGGUCAUAUCUUGGAAAUUCUGAUAUUGAAUUAAAUGUUCAGUAAAGAGUUUUAAAUUAUUAACAGACAGGAAAAAUAAAUUCAUAUAUCAUCCAUUUCGAACUGCUAUGAGCAUGUGGUGAAAAGGGCUCUAAGUAAAGAUAUCCAGAAAUCUUUCUCUCUUUAACACACACCAACAGUUCAAAUCUGCAGAUUUUCUCAGACCACAUUUUCACUGUAGGUUGAAUAUAGCGCUUUUAUACCAGGCUCCAGACAGUUCCCAACCUGCCAACUGCUGACUAAAAUCCCAGUAAUAGUUUUUCACAUUUAUGUAACACUUGCAUAACAUGAUGGGUUCCAUUAUUUAAAAAAAAUACACCCUGAAAUGAUUUUUUUUAACUGUAGAAAAUGCACCCAUCAUCUCAUGCAGCCUCGUUGACACUCUGCCAAACAUCUUUAACUAUCACUUUAUUUUAGUCCUUAAACUGAGAACUUGUUGUCCUGACUCCUAUAACAAACAGGCACUGACAUUGGCACUGCUGGCUCCCACUCAUACCUCUGGCUAUUGUAUCUGUAAUUGAACUCUAGUCCACUGCUACUCAACAUUCCUGACCACUCUGCCUGUGACAACUUUGCAUUACAGUGCGGUGAAGGUAGGAAGGUCAGAGCAAGAACAUACUGCAAGACUAUCAGAGAUCCGACUAGGGUUUCUGCUGCCGCUUAUGCUUAUCUGCUUUAUAAUUAUCCUGAAUAUAGUCCAGUUUUGCAUGAGUAAAAAGUGUAAAAUUCAUAGGAUUAAAUCCUGCAAAAAUGUUAAUUUAAUACUCAGAUAACAGAGCACGGAUGCAGCGGAGUUCAAAAGUCCAAAUAGAAAGUCUAUUUAUAGGAGCUCUCAUUUAUGACACAUUAAAUUUAAUAUUCUAUGCUUACUAAAAGCCUGAAUGUGUAUUACUUUGGUUUACUCAAUCAUUACAACAUAUAUUUUUAAUUAUGCAUUGUUUCCAACAACAGUAGCCAAGUUGAUAGCAUUGCAGCAUAAUCAAUAGAUGAUGAGUUUGUAGACAGCCACACAGAGAAGGUACAUUUUUAGUCUCAUGCUUUACUCACUUUCACGCUUAACCACAUGCAUACAUUUGAAUCAACAGAAACAAAACAGAAGUGCAAAAGAGGAAAAGGCUAAAUCAAUUUCAAUCAGCAGGAACCUGACCUUAUGCUAACUAUGAGCAACUGAGGCACUCAGCAACAGAGGAAAGCUGAGGCUGACCACAUUAGUGAGCAGAUAUGUUAUUAUUAACCUGGCUUAAAGGAGAGCUGCAGAGCAUACUUGUCAAAUCUCAGCAGAUGCUUCAUAUUAACGUCAUGAUAUAUGAGGUAGCAUUGAUUAAUAACAACCACUAUUCAAAGCAGUGUGUAUAGACAAGAUCUGACACACAGGAUGAUGAUAAUCCUUAUGAGUCAUAUGUUAGCUGCACCUAAAUGUUACCUUCCAACGGGGAUUGCAUGUAAGACCCCUGGAGUAGUCCCCACUGUAGUAUCAAGCUAACCUUUGAUCAGUAAACAGAAACAGAUCUUGUAUUAAUUUGAAAACUCUGCACAGAGAUGCUUCAGUGAGGAAAAUGUCUAUUUUAUAAUUACCCUGUAGUUAAGUUUAAUUAUGCUCAUGUGAAAGAUAAAGGGAAGCAAAGACAACGCUCUGUUGAAUGUUGAUAUGAAGCUCUGGCAAUUGUUUAUCAGGAAAACUAUAUUAUGCUUAUUUAUUUUCACACAUAUCUUCUGUGCUUAUCAGUUGUUCUCAUCACCUGACCAUAUCUAUCCAAUAACACCACAACACACCCUCAUAAUUAGCUCAUCACACAGCUGCUGUUGUUUUAAAUACGGCUUUCUUUCCCUCCAGCUCAGUUGUGCCGAUUGCCGCCAAGUCCUUCAGUCGUUUCCAUCUUCAUCAGCCUCAUCAUUCCAUCAGCCUCAGAGGACAUCAUCAAACAUCUUCUCAUCAUCGCCCAGUCUUGGCAGUUCUUCAUCUUCACUAUCUCAAUAGUCUCAGAUGACAUCAUUGGCCAUCACCUCCACUGCUAGUGUCUGGACUCCUUGAGGAGAUGGAUUCAGCUGCAGCUCAGGGCAGACAUCCUCGAAUCGCUCUUUCCUCUUGAGUUCAAACGGC